rnacentral:misc_RNA from 1 species
GAUGAAGAACGCAGCGAAAUGCGAUACUUGGUGUGAAUUGCAGAAUCCCGUGAACCAUCGAGUCUUUGAACGCAAGUUGCGCCCGAAGCCAUCAGGUUGAGGGCACGUCUGCCUGGGCGUCACAUAUCGUUGCCCAAUGCCUAUUGCAGUGCAAUAGGAAUUUCUAGGGCGAAUGAUGGCUUCCCGUGAGCGUUGUUGCCUCGCGGUUGGUUGAAAAUCGAGUCCUUGGUAGGGUGUGCCAUGGUAGAUGGUGGUCGAGUUAGAACGAUACCGAUCAUGUGCAUGCUCCCCAAAAUAUGGCCUCUAUGACCCACACGCGUCUUUUGACGCUCAUGACGAGACCUCAGGUCAGGCGGGGCUACCCGCUGAAUUUAAGCAUAUCAAUGAGCGGAGGA